CCUACGGGUGGCAGCAGUAGGGAAUUUUCGGCAAUGGGGGGAACCCUGACCGAGCAACGCCGCGUGAACGAAGAAGUUACUCGGAAUGUAAAGCUCUUUUAACAGGGAAGAAAGAGAAAUUAGAUGGUACCUGAAGAAUAAGCUCCGGCGAACUACGUGCCCGCAGCCGCGGUAAUACGUAGGGAGCGAGCGUUAUCCGGUGUUAUUGGGUUAAAAUGGUGCGCAGGCGGGAUAUCAAGUCAGCGGUAAAAUUGAGAGGCUCAACAUCUUCGAGCCGUGGAAGCUGGUUGUCUUGAGUGGGCGAGAAGUAUGCGGAAUGCGUGGUGUAGCGGUGAAAUGCAUAGAUAGCACGCAGAACUCCGAUUGCGAAGGCAGCAUGCCGGCGCUCAACUGACGCUGAGGCACGAAAGUGUGGGUAUCGAACAGGAUUAGAUACCCUUGUAGUC
rnacentral:rRNA from 1 species